GAUGAACGCUGGCGGCGUGCCUAAUACAUGCAAGUCGAGCGAACAGACGAGGAGCUUGCUCCUCUGACGUUAGCGGCGGACGGGUGAGUAACACGUGGAUAACCUACCUAUAAGACUGGGAUAACUUCGGGAAACCGGCGCUAAUACCGGAUCACAUGUUGAACCGCAUGGUUCAACAGUGAAAGACGGUCUUGCUGUCACUUAUAGAUGGAUCCGCGCCGCAUUAGCUAGUUGGUAAGGUAACGGCUUACCAAGGCAACGAUGCGUAGCCGACCUGAGAGGGUGAUCGGCCACACUGGAACUGAGACACGGUCCAGACUCCUACGGGAGGCAGCAGUAGGGAAUCUUCCGCAAUGGGCGGAAGCCUGACGGAGCAACGCCGCGUGAGUGAAGAAGGUCUUCGGAUCGUAAAACUCUGUUAUUAGGGAAGAACAAAUGUGUAAGUAACUAUGCACGUAUUGACGGUACCUAAUCAGAAAGCCACGGCUAACUACGUG
rnacentral:rRNA from 1 species